rfam:Burkholderiales bacterium YL45, complete genome.
GUCAACUACCCCGGGCUAAAAGCCCGAGGCUUGCAAAAGUCUGGUUGACCAGCUUCAGUCAGCAAUGCUGACUACGUUGCAAAGAGGUUCAAGACUCACUCCGGGGUGCUUCCUCAGCUCCGGACCCUGAAAGUUCCGAAAGCAGACAAGCUAUGGGUAAGUACGAAACGGUUCGGAACAAAACGCCGCUCUGCAACAUUGGCGAGGGGAACAACAC